rnacentral:rRNA from 1 species
UACGAAGGGGGCUAGCGUUGCUCGGAAUCACUGGGCGUAAAGGGCGCGUAGGCGGCGUUUUAAGUCGGGGGUGAAAGCCUGUGGCUCAACCACAGAAUGGCCUUCGAUACUGGGACGCUUGAGUAUGGUAGAGGUUGGUGGAACUGCGAGUGUAGAGGUGAAAUUCGUAGAUAUUCGCAAGAACACCGGUGGCGAAGGCGGCCAACUGGACCAUUACUGACGCUGAGGCGCGAAAGCGUAGGGAGCAAACAGG